UACGUAGGGUGCGAGCGUUAAUCGGAAUUACUGGGCGUAAAGGGUGCGUAGGCGGCUUUGUAAGUCAGUGGUGAAAUACUCCAGCUUAACUGGAGGGGUGCCAUUGAUACUGCGGAGCUUGAGUACAGAUGAGGUAGGCGGAAUUGACGGUGUAGCGGUGAAAUGCAUAGAUAUCGUCAAGAACACCGAUAGCGAAGGCAGCUUACUGGGCUGUAACUGACGCUGAUGCACGAAAGUGUGGGGAUCAAACAGG
rnacentral:rRNA from 1 species